GAUGAAGAACGCAGCGAAAUGCGAUACUUGGUGUGAAUUGCAGAAUCCCGUGAACCAUCGAGUCUUUGAACGCAAGUUGCGCCUCAAGCCAUUAGGUUGAGGGCACGUCUGCCUGGGCGUCACAUAUCGUUGCCUGAUGCCAGUUUCCUCGUGAUGGGUGACUGUGCAGGGCGAAUGAUGGCUUCCCGUGAACAUUGUUGCCUCAUGGUUGGUUGAAAAUUGAGUCCUUGGUAGGGAGCGCCGUGAUAGAUGGUGGUUGAGUGACGAACGAGACCCAAUCAUGUGAGACCCCUACCGAAUUUGGCCUUCAUGACCCACAUGCGUCUUUGGAACGCUCAUGACGAGACCUCAGGUCAGGCGGGGCUACCCGCUGAGUUUAAGCAUAUCAAUAAGCGGAGGA
rnacentral:misc_RNA from 1 species